rnacentral:rRNA from 1 species
AGUGAACGCUGGCGGUAGGCCUAACACAUGCAAGUCGAACGGCAGCACAGUAAGAGCUUGCUCUUACGGGUGGCGAGUGGCGGACGGGUGAGGAAUACAUCGGAAUCUACUUUUUCGUGGGGGAUAACGUAGGGAAACUUACGCUAAUACCGCAUACGACCUACGGGUGAAAGCAGGGGAUCUUCGGACCUUGCGCGAUUGAAUGAGCCGAUGUCGGAUUAGCUAGUUGGCGGGGUAAAGGCCCACCAAGGCGACGAUCCGUAGCUGGUCUGAGAGGAUGAUCAGCCACACUAGAACUGAGACACGGUCCAGACUCCUACGGGAGGCAGCAGUGGGGAAUAGUGGACAAUGGGCGCAAGCCUGAUCCAGCCAUACCGCGUGGGUGAAGAAGGCCUUCGGGUUGUAAAGCCCUUUUGCUGGGAAAGAAAAGCAGCAGGUUAAUACCCCGCUGUUCUGACGGUACCCAAAGAAUAAGCACCGGCUAACUUCGUG